GUUUUCAGGUAGUAAGAAUUCCUCAACUGCCAGCAGUAAAAAUGACGUGUUCUUUCUGAAGUAGUUUCAAACCAAAGGAGAUUCAAAUACCUGCAAAAGCACAGUGUAAAGGUACCUACCACAUGUAAAUUUAGAUGAAAGACCACAUCUCAUAAGAGCACUGGAAUAAUACGCAUCUCGAGAAGCUGAGUAUCUUGCAGCUGGAAGAGAUGGCAUUUCAAAUGCAAACAAUUUUCCAGGCCCUGGGAAAGUUAUGAAAAACUGACAAGAUGGCAAGAUGGUCCAGAAGCUCUCCAUAUCACAUCCUCUUGGGUGGCAAGGAGACAAUAUUUCUUACUGAUAAUUCCUGCUCAAAUCUGGGAAUCCUUUCUGAUAGAAACAACUCUGCAGGAUUCAGUGCUCUGAUUAACCAGGCCUGGUUGGGAAGUACAGCUGGGCAGAGACUGAUGUACAAGGAGCCUUCCGUACUCCCAUCAGAAAUCAAGGUCAAACAAGUGUUUAUGGCGAUUUCACCUUUCAACUACUGUUCAGCAGUAAUUCAAUCAGCAUUCUGUUUAGCAGAUUUCCUGGACAAUGGUCUUUUUUUGGCUAAUUGGCUGAAUAACAUCAUUGACACAAGUGAACUGUUAUUUAAGACCUUGAAGAAUUCCUUAUAUUUCGGGGUCAACACCAAAGCUCAAAACAUAACCUCGUCCUGAGAUCCUCUUUGGGUAUGAGUGAGAUCAGUUUGUCUUCACCAAAUCACUUUUCGGUGCCAAGUUACCCACUGAGACAGCAGAGUUAAGACUGACAUAUUGGACGGGGCUCUUGAAGUUUUCCAACAGAAGUCAAUUUUUUUGUUUGUUUGCUUCGAAAGCAGAAGCGGAUGUGUUUUGCAAACAUUUGACUCAUUCCUCACACAAACCUCAGUAUUGAUGUCCUCACUCCACAUAAUGUGCAGCCAUGAGGAGAUGAGAGGUGGGAGAGUCAAGAUGAAUGCUUUAUUAAUGACGGUCUCUGCUUAAGUUCAAGAAACAAUCACUAGUAAAUAUUGAUUCAGUUAGUGUCUGCUACGUACUAAGUACUGGAGAUAUAACAAGGUUAUCAUCUCUUGAUGAAGAUUACAUUCUAGUGGAGAAGACAGUCAUUGAACAACCACAGCAACAAAAAGUUAGCAAGAAAGGAACUGUACUAAAUUCCAUGAAUGAAAUAGAUGGAGAUCUUUA